rnacentral:rRNA from 1 species
UGGGGAAUAUUGGGCAAUGGGCGAAAGCCUGACCCAGCGACGCCGCGUGAGGGAAGAAGGUCUUCGGAUUGUAAACCUCUGUUGACAGGGAAGAAGAAAGUGACGGUACCUGUCGAGGAAGUCACGGCUAACUACGUGCCAGCAGCCGCGGUAAUACGUAGGGGGCAAGCGUUAUCCGGAUUUACUGGGUGUAAAGGGAGCGUAGACGGCAGAGCAAGUCUGAAGUGAAAGCCCGGGGCUCAACCCCGGGACUGCUUUGGAAACUGCCCGGCUAGAGUGCAGGAGGGGCAAGCGGAAUUCCUAGUGUAGCGGUGAAAUGCGUAGAUAUUAGGAGGAACACCGGUGGCGAAGGCGGCUUGCUGGACUGUAACUGACGUUGAGGCUCGAAAGCGUGGGGAGCAAACAGGAUUAGAUACCCUGGUAGU